UUUCUUAUUCUUUCCAUAGAAAGGCCUCUUGCUCAAAUGAGUAUUCCAUAACUUUCAGUCAUGAAAGUAACUUACUUUCCUUAAUACAUUUCCUUCAUUGUCCACUUCCACGACACAUUUUAAUGGAUACUCAUUUCAGCAAGAUGCUUUACAUGGAAGGUUUACAUACAUUCACAACAUUUAUUCUCAGGACUUCACAUCAAUCAGCUUCAGGAGCAAGCAACUAUGAUCUAAAAUUACAGGGAUUAAACAAAGAAAAAGAAAUUAAGCACCCCCAUCCUAAGCUGACUACAAGGUUUUGAAUAUUUCAAAUUGAGAUUUAGCAACUCAAGAAGAAACAUAAGAGCCCCAGCUGCCGUAGGUGGAAUACAACCUGGAUCUCUACAGUGAGAAACAUUAUGGAAAAUCACAAAAUAGUCCAUCACUCAUAAAGUUAGGCUUGCCACAAAUCUAAUGGCUGAAUUUGGAUAUCAAUGCCCUCCACUUGCUUAAACCAAAUGUUUCAACCACCCCCUUGGGAUGAACUUCAUGCCCAGAAUGUUUUAACUCUGAUACAACAAGAGUUCUAAUAUAGAAGGGUAAUUCAAACAUGAAAUCUCGUCUUUUUUUUUUAGUUUUUUAUUAAUUUUUAUCUUCUUUCAGUGUAAAUUGUGUAAUAGUCAUGAGUUUCAAGGGAAAACUACCAUAUUUCUAACGGAA